rnacentral:lncRNA from 1 species
CUGGUUUGAUUGGGAUAAACUUGUAUGUUUAGGUUAUAACAGGUGUGCUCUAAUUGAUGAUGUCUUUUGUUACUUCUGUAGAAGUCCUUGUCAGUGAAAUAAACUAUUUCUCAUUCACUGUUCCACAAAUAUCACAAAAUAAUUAAGCCAAUAAAGCGAAUUCUAGUAAAAAAAGAUCGUUUUCUUCACCCACUUUUUUCUUAAAAAAAUCUGC